rnacentral:rRNA from 1 species
UAUACAGUGAAACUGCGAAUGGCUCAUUAAAUCAGUUAUCGUUUAUUUGAUAGUACCUUACUACUUGGAUAACCGUGGUAAUUCUAGAGCUAAUACAUGCUAAAAAUCCCGACCCCUGGAAGGGAUGUAUUUAUUAGAUAAAAAACCAAUGCCUUCGGGCUCCUUGGUGAUUCAUGAUAACUUAACGAAUCGCAUGGCCUUGCGCCGGCGAUGGUUCAUUCAAAUUUCUGCCCUAUCAAGUUUCGAUGGUAGGAUAGUGGCCUACCAUGCUUUCAACGGGUAACGGGGAAUUAGGGUUCUAUUCCGGAGAGGGAGCCUGAGAAACGGCUACCACAUCCAAGGAAGGCAGCAGGCGCGCAAAUUACCCAAUCCCGACACGGGGAGGUAGUGACAAUAAAUACUGAUACAGGGCGCUUUCGCGUCUUGUAAUUGGAAUGAGUACGAUCUAAAAACUCUAACGAGGAACAAUUGGAGGGCAAGUCUGGUGCCAGCAGCCGCGGUAAUUCCAGCUCCAAUAGCGUAUAUUAAAGUUGUUGCAGUUAAAAAGCUCGUAGUUGAACCUUGGGCCGGGGUGGCGGGUCCGCCUCACCGCGUGCACUCGUCCGCCCUGGCCUUUCCUUCUGGCGAGCCCCAUGCCCUUCACUGGGUGUGGCGGGGAACCAGGACUUUUACUUUGAAAAAAUUAGAGUGUUCAAAGCAGGCAUAUGCUCGAAUACAUUAGCAUGGAAUAAUAGAAUAGGACGUGUGGUUCUAUUUUGUUGGUUUCUAGGACCACCGUAAUGAUUAAUAGGGAUAGUCGGGGGCAUCCGUAUUCAACUGUCAGAGGUGAAAUUCUUGGAUUUGUUGAAGACGAACUACUGCGAAAGCAUUUGCCAAGGAUGUUUUCAUUAAUCAGGAACGAAAGUUGAGGGAUCGAAGACGAUCAGAUACCGUCGUAGUCUCAACCAUAAACUAUGCCGACUAGGGAUCGGGCGAUGUUCUUAUUUUGACCCGCUCGGAACCUUACGAGAAAUCAAA